rnacentral:lncRNA from 1 species
UUUAAUUAAUUAUUGCUCAAUUAAAAAUAAGGUGAGUGAUUAACUAAAUAUAUUGCAAGUGAAUUAGUUAAAUCACUAGAUGCAAUGAGUAAAGAGAAUGAAAGAGACAAGGUGCAAUACAAACACAGAAAGAUUUAUAGUGGUUCGGAGCCAACUCUUGCUCCUACGUCCACUCCCCAAGCCACACUUGGGAGUUCACUAUAAUUCCUAGGAUUACAACCGAUUGUUUUACAAGCUCACAACCCAACUUGUUGUUUUCACGAGGUCACAACGAACUCGAUCGGUUUUGACAGGCUCAC